UACGUAGGGUGCAAGCGUUGUCCGGAAUUAUUGGGCGUAAAGCGCGCGCAGGCGGUCUCUUAAGUCUGAUGUGAAAUCCCGUGGCUUAACCACGGGCGGUCAUUGGAAACUGGGGGACUUGAGUGCAGAAGAGAAGAGCGGAAUUCCACGUGUAGCGGUGAAAUGCGUAGAGAUGUGGAGGAACACCAGUGGCGAAGGCGGCUCUUUGGUCUGUAACUGACGCUGAGGCGCGAAAGCGUGGGGAGCGAACAGG
rnacentral:rRNA from 1 species